rnacentral:rRNA from 1 species
CAGCCGCCACGGUAAUACGGAGGGUGCAAGCGUUAAUCGGAAUUACUGGGCGUAAAGCGCACGCAGGCGGUCUGUCAAGUCAGAUGUGAAAUCCCCGGGCUUAACCUGGGAACUGCAUUUGAAACUGGCAGGCUAGAGUCUUGUAGAGGGGGGUAGAAUUCCAGGUGUAGCGGUGAAAUGCGUAGAGAUCUGGAGGAAUACCGGUGGCGAAGGCGACUAUCUGGGCCAACACUAACACUGAGGCACGAAAGCGUGGGGAGCAAACAGGAUUAGAUACCCCGGUAGUCCCUGUCUCUUAUAC